rnacentral:rRNA from 1 species
GACGAACGCUGGCGGCGUGCUUAACACAUGCAAGUCGAACGGAAAGGCCCUGCUUUUGUGGGGUGCUCGAGUGGCGAACGGGUGAGUAACAUGUGAGUAACCUGCCCUUGACUUUGGGAUAACUUCAGGAAACUGGGGCUAAUACCGGAUAGGAGCUCCUGCUGCAUGGUGGGGGUUGGAAAGUUUCGGCGGUUGGGGAUGGACUCGCGGCUUAUCAGCUUGUUGGUGGGGUAGUUGCUUACCAAGGCUUUGACGGGUAGCCGGCCUGAGAGGGUGACCGGCCACAUUGGGACUGAGAUACGGCCCAGACUCCUACGGGAGGCAGCAGUGGGGAAUAUUGCACAAUGGGCGGAAGCCUGAUGCAGCAACGCCGCGUGCGGGAUGACGGCCUUCGGGUUGUAAACCGCUUUCGCCUGUGACGAAGCGUGAGUGACGGUAAUGGGUAAAGAAGCACCGGCUAACUACGUG